rnacentral:lncRNA from 1 species
GUAGUAGUAGUUCAGAUAGAGGCACGUGGGUUCGCAGAACGCGUCGUUGAUUUUUUUUUCAAGGCAACGCCUGAUUUGGCACACUCCAUCGCCAGACGAUUCGUGCACGCUCUGUGUGAACUCGUCCAAUUGUCGGUGGCUGUCUGAGGUGAUCGUAGUUGAUAACGAUCUGUCACACGAUCCACCGUCACGGGUCUCGUGGAAGCGCGUUGGCUGCCAACGCAGAAACAGUCCGCCUUUGGCAAGUCAGAACAUGCAUAGCCUAUUACCAAUCUAGGAAAACGAGAUACGCAAGACAAAUUCCGACGACCUGUGAUUUGAUGACCCGGUGAUUAGACGAUGAUCCGACGAUCAACAUGAAUAUCCAACAAUGCGAAGAUUAUCUAAUAAGUCUCUCUUAUGAUGAUCUGUGGUAGGUCUACUAAUAUCAUCUUGACAUGAUCCGAUAAGCUGUAUUUCAUCCAAUAAUACUGAUUCGAUGAUGAUCCGAUUAGCUGUCAAUAAUUCGGCGAUGAUUCUGAUGUACCGAUGAUUUAAUUGAAUUAAACAAAAUCAACCAAAAAAAUAACAACGAUAUACAAUUUAUAUCAUAAACAUAAUGAUGAACACCAUUGCAGUAGCUAACUACUACCGUAUCUUACCUCAUGACCCGGAUCCAUAUAAUAUGGCUUUAAAUGAAUCAUCACUUUCGAGCGCGCGUACACAGCGCAUCGGUAACUACGCGCACUAUCACAACCAAUUACAGAAUGUCAGACCUCAGUAUGUUUGGAUUAAAAUGGGAAUCCGCAAUUACGUAUGUUUCUCUACAAGACGACGUGAAACACUGGGAUUUCGGUAGGACGAACUUAAAAGUGAAUCGGCAAGGAACGUCCAACAUCAGUUGAAGUAAGACAACGAUUAACAAAUCAAUCAGGAUGAUACGCGAUGACGUCAGUCACACGAAUCUACAGUCCGGUAAUUAUACACUUUCAUAACACAUUUACGACCUGACAUUUGAAUGAUCUCCAUCCUGACCCACGUGCACACUUGAGGAAACCCAGAAGGCAGAACACAGUGAGUGAAAACCGGAUAAACAGUGAUCGAUAUGCCAUUCAAUGACGUCACAUUAUCGAAUCCGUUAAGUCAAUCGUCUCUAUUAUGUCCGUUGAAAUAACACAAUAACGGAAAACACUCAGAUCAGUAUUAAUCAUCUGGGAAAAGGAUUAUUUAUCGAUUGUAGAUUUGGAGAAUCGCUAAAUUAGCGAGAAAUCACACGAUAAUUACAAUGACAGUACAAUGUUCUACAAUAUUAUUAAGAUUUGGUAAAAUCAGGAAAAAGUCGAACAAAAAAGUAUUAAAACAUUGGACUUCUUUUUUCAAACAUAUUUAUACAGGAUUAAAAACAUAUCAGGUGGUUGUUAUUGCCUGUUUUUCAUAUGGUCUUUUUAAAACUUAUACUAGGAAGAUAAAGAUAAAACAUACAUUAUACAUCACACUUCAAUAAAUCAUUAUCUUCAAAUGAGACAAAAAUUCAAAUUUUGCUCAGUUUACAGACAAUAUUCGAAGACCAAUUCAAUACAAAAACUGAUGUCCAAAAAGCAACGACGAAUAAUAUUAACAGUAAUAUUAAGUAUUUUCUUGUGUUCGAUCGAAAGCUGACCACUUCAUUAUAUAUACAGAGUAACCAUUUAACAUAUUUCAUUUUAUUCUUCAGGUGUAUUAACGCUCAAUACCAAUGAAAGUAUUAUCUUGUAAACAAAACUGAAAACAAAGUAGUUAGUUGAAUAAUAGUAGGGACAAUAAUAGUCAUGAUAACGUUUCUUUGGCCUAUAUCGAUCUACACUUAACACAAACACGUAAAACAUGACCACUAAAAUAGUAUCUGCCUCUACAUCAUAAAGCCUUUUACGCGUGUAAUACAGUCUGGCGAUAACUAGGCCAAAGGUAGGCCUACACUACCAACAUAAUGAAAUAGCACACCGCGCCGAUGGAGUUGAGUGCGGUUGUGUUUUAUUACGUACAGGAGCGCCUAUUUAAACGGCUAUAGCGUUUCUUGACAACAGAGUAUUUCGGCUUUUUUAUGCGACUACAGUUUGCAAUCCUUCUAAUUAACAAGGCAUUUUAGAAUCUAGUGUUCGCUUCUCCUAGGGUGUAGUAUUUUAUCGCAUGCAUACAAACAUAUCUCAA